CAAUGGGGGAAACCCUGNAUGCAGCGACGCCGCGNUGAGCGAAGAAAGUAUUUCGGUAUGUAAAGCUCUAUCAGCAGGGNAAGAUAAUGACGGUACCUGNACUAAGAAGCCCCGGCUAACUACGUGCCAGCAGCCGCGGUAAUACGUAGGGGGCAAGCGUUAUCCGGAUUUACUGGGUGUAAAGGGAGCGUAGACGGCAAGGCAAGUCUGAUGUGAAAACCCAGGGCUUAACCCUGGGACUGCAUUGGAAACUGUCUGGCUCGAGUGCCGGAGAGGUAAGCGGAAUUCCUAGUGUAGCGGUGAAAUGCGUAGAUAUUAGGAAGAACACCAGUGGCGAAGGCGGCUUACUGGACGGUAACUGACGUUGAGGCUCGAAAGCGUGGGGAGCAAACAGGAUUAGAUACCCUGGUAGUCCAAGGGCGAAUUC
rnacentral:rRNA from 1 species